CUUUGAUAGCUUGUGUGUUCUCCUCUGCAAUACCUGUUUGCCAUCCCUGCCUUGGAGCCAGAUGAUUAUGGACUGAAACCUCUACAAACUAUGCUGGACAGCAGCAGUGAAGCUCCCAGGAGCUACAAGAACACAAGGGGAGUGGCAUCACCCCUUCUGCAGCUGUCCACCCCGUUGUUCCCUCACUAUGACUGGGAGGUGAAUAUAAUCUACUUACUUGAGCUUUCUGAAGCAAAGCCUGCUCCCUCAUUGCUGGUGUCAAGAGGUCUGCUGCCCUCUCUUCUCUUCUAAGAAGAUUGUGGGGAGAGAAACUCAAGCCUCAGAAGGCCCUAAUGUAACAAUCCUAUGCUCCUUUUUGGACCUGAAAAGAACCUGCACACUACAGUAGAGCAUUCAGGUGCAAGCAUCAAAAUGUCAUGAUCCUAAUGAAGGCUUAGACUGUAGACAUCCUUGGAUCAUCCUUAUCCAUCUCCUGAGGAAAAGCAGCUUCUAAAGAAGUGAACUUACUGGCUUCAGAAAUUGUGGGGAAGCUGAGCAGGCUGCAUGCAUUGUCUGAGGAGCCUAAACAAACACCCCAGAGAACAGAGGAGAGUUUGCAGAUAUGGGCAUUAUGAUCAUCAUUUCCCAGGGCCCUGCUGCAUAUCCCUCUUCUACCUGAGGGGAGGAAGCACUAUUAAUCCUUCUUUUGCUCAUUACUGAACUGGAUUCUUCUCAGUGCAUUUCCCGCCUAUCUCAGGGGUAGGGGAGGAUCUGCUUAGGCAGACCACCCAGGUUUCCACAGAAAAGUUGUCAGUCUGAACACAGGUGGCUGGUCCCCUGCUCAGGUUUCUGUUAAGAUCAUUAGCUUUGUCCUGAUGGGCACUUAAGAGCAUUAACUCCUUCACUGCCAAGACUUACAGGCAUUAGACAGUUUUCUGGGUGUCCCAGGAGAAUUACUCUUAUUCUUGGAGAAUCCUGGGGACUACUAGCUCUAGUUUUGAUGAGAGAACAACACCCAGAAUAAGCACAGGGUAGGAUCCAAGUCAGGGCCAAGAAAUUCCAUCAGUUACCUGUUGGAUAACUGAGAAGUGCUGUGAAUAAUGGGAUUGGAUUGGAUAUUCAGCUGUAUUUUGACAAGCUUCAGGAAAACUCCUCUGCCAUCAGGGCCGGGGUGUCCUCCCUCAGUUUUCUAAUAAUUUAAGAUUACCAUUACAGCUUUAUUUCCUUUGCAUACGAUUUUUAUCACCUAUAACAAUGCAAAUAUCUUUAGAAGAAGAAAGCCUAUUAGGCCUUAUAUGAACCAAGUAAACCUUUGCAAGAGAUCAGCUUUACCCUAAAGUUUCUAUAGCAGUGGUGAAAAUGCAAGAUGGAAGAGAUAGAGUAUGACCAAGUGAAAAGGAAGAGGGAAGGGAGGCUGGAUUUUCUGAGAAC
rnacentral:lncRNA from 1 species